rnacentral:rRNA from 1 species
GACGAACGCUGGCGGCGCGCCUAACACAUGCCAGUCGAACGAGCGAGAGAGAGCUUGCUUUCUCGAGCGAGUGGCGAACGGGUGGGUAACGCGUGAGGAACCUGCCUCAAAGAGGGGGACAACAGUUGGAAACGACUGCUAAUACCGCAUAAGCCCACGACCCGGCAUCGGGUAGAGGGAAAAGGAGCAAUCCGCUUUGAGAUGGCCUCGCGUCCGAUUAGCUAGUUGGUGAGGUAACGGCCCACCAAGGCGACGAUCGGUAGCCGGACUGAGAGGUUGAACGGCCACAUUGGGACUGAGACACGGCCCAGACUCCUACGGGAGGCAGCAGUGGGGAAUAUUGCACAAUGGGGGAAACCCUGAUGCAGCGACGCCGCGUGGAGGAAGAAGGUCUUCGGAUUGUAAACUCCUGUUGUUGAGGAAGAUAAUGACGGUACUCAACAAGGAAGUGACGGCUAACUACGUG